AUCUUGAACAAUCGGUUCCCGUACAAACACCGAAGUUAAGCAACGUCGAGUCUGAUUAGUACCCAGAUGGGUGACCACUUGUGAAUACAACGUGCAGUAUG